rnacentral:lncRNA from 1 species
UGAAAGGCUGGUAAAAGUAGCAAAUAAUUAGCAGACAUACACUCUUCCUUGGCUGGCCACACAAUAAGCAAGUUUGAAUGUUUCAAACUUUGCUAAAUUUAGCUUGGGGCAAAUCUUCAAAGGUACAAAAAGUGGAGGGGUUUGAACGGAGCUUAAGGAAACUUUGAGGGCUAUUUUGCAAGUAAUUAAAUAAUCUAAAUACGCUGAUUAGGUCAGCUUAUUGGGAUGUUUUUG